rnacentral:rRNA from 1 species
GAUGAACACUGGCGGCGUGCUUAACACAUGCAAGUCGAACGAUGAAGCCCAGCUUGCUGGGUGGAUUAGUGGCGAACGGGUGAGUAACACGUGAGUAACCUGCCCUUAACUCUGGGAUAAGCCUGGGAAACUGGGUCUAAUACCGGAUAGGAGCGUCCACCGCAUGGUGGGUGUUGGAAAGAUUUAUCGGUUUUGGAUGGACUCGCGGCCUAUCAGCUUGUUGGUGAGGUAAUGGCUCACCAAGGCGACGACGGGUAGCCGGCCUGAGAGGGUGACCGGCCACACUGGGACUGAGACACGGCCCAGACUCCUACGGGAGGCAGCAGUGGGGAAUAUUGCACAAUGGGCGCAAGCCUGAUGCAGCGACGCCGCGUGAGGGAUGACGGCCUUCGGGUUGUAAACCUCUUUCAGUAUGGAAGAAGCGAAAGUGACGGUACCUGCAGAAGAAGCACCGGCUAACUACGUG